UACCAGCACCCCGAGUGGUCGGGACGAUUAUUGGGCCUAAAGCAUCCGUAGCCGGUUCUACAAGUCUUCCGUUAAAUCCACCUGCUUAACAGAUGGGCUGCGGAGGAUACUACGUGGCUAGGAGGCGGGAGAGGCAAGCGGUACUCAGUGGGUAGGGGUAAAAUCCGUUGAUCCAUUGAAGACCACCAGUGGCGAAGGCGGCUUGCCAGAACGCGCUCGACGGUGAGGGAUGAAAGCUGGGGGAGCAAACCGGG
rnacentral:rRNA from 1 species